UACGUAGGUUGCAAGCGUUGUCCGGAAUUAUUGGGCGUAAAGCGCGCGCAGGCGGUUUCUUAAGUCUGAUGUGAAAGCCCACGGCUUAACCGUGGAAGGUCAUUGGAAACUGGGAGACUUGAGUGCAGAAGAGAAGAGCGGAAUUCCACGUGUAGCGGUGAAAUGCGUAGAGAUGUGGAGGAACACCAGUGGCGAAGGCGGCUCUUUGGUCUGUAACUGACGCUGAGGCGCGAAAGCGUGGGGAUCAAACAGG
rnacentral:rRNA from 1 species